rnacentral:rRNA from 1 species
AUUGAACACUGGCGGCAGGCCUAACACAUGCAAGUCGAACGGUAACAGAAAGCAGCUUGCUGCUUUGCUGACGAGUGGCGGACGGGUGAGUAAUGUCUGGGAAACUGCCUGAUGGAGGGGGAUAACUACUGGAAACGGUAGCUAAUACCGCAUAACGUCGCAAGACCAAAGAGGGGGACCUUCGGGCCUCUUGCCAUCGGAUGUGCCAGAUGGGAUUAGCUAGUAGGUGGGGUAACGGCUCACCUAGGCGACGAUCCCUAGCUGGUCUGAGAGGAUGACCAGCCACACUGGAACUGAGACACGGUCCAGACUCCUACGGGAGGCAGCAGUGGGGAAUAUUGCACAAUGGGCGCAAGCCUGAUGCAGCCAUGCCGCGUGUAUGAAGAAGGCCUUCGGGUUGUAAAGUACUUUCAGCGGGGAGGAAGGGAGUAAAGUUAAUACCUUUGCUCAUUGACGUUACCCGCAGAAGAAGCACCGGCUAACUCCGUG